CCUACGGGAGGCAGCAGUGAGGAAUAUUGGUCAAUGGGCGGAAGCCUGAACCAGCCAAGUCGCGUGAGGGAAUAAGGCCCUACGGGUCGUAAACCUCUUUUGCCGGGGAGCAAGGGACGGGACGUGUCCCGGUCCGGAGAGUACCCGGAGAAAAAGCAUCGGCUAACUCCGUGCCAGCAGCCGCGGUAAUACGGAGGAUGCGAGCGUUAUCCGGAUUUAUUGGGUUUAAAGGGUGCGUAGGAGGGCUUUUAAGUCAGCGGUAAAAAUUCGGGGGUCAACCCCGUCCGGCCGUUGAAACUGGGGGGCUUGAGUGGGCGAGAAGAAGGCGGAAUGCGUGGUGUAGCGGUGAAAUGCAUAGAUAUCACGCAGAACCCCGAUUGCGAAGGCAGCCUUCCGGCGCCCUACUGACGCUGAGGCACGAAAGUGCGGGGAUCGAACAGGAUUAGAUACCCCAGUAGUC
rnacentral:rRNA from 1 species